rnacentral:rRNA from 1 species
AUUGAACGCUGGCGGCAGGCCUAACACAUGCAAGUCGAGCGAGCGGCGGACGGGUGAGUAAUGUAUGGGGAACUGCCCGAUAGAGGGGGAUAACUACUGGAAACGGUGGCUAAUACCGCAUACCAUCGGAUGUACCCAUAUGGGAUUAGCUAGUAGGGUGGGUAAAGGCUCACCUAGGCGACGAUCCCUAGCUGGUCUGAGAGGAUGAUCAGCCACACGGGGACGGAGAAACGGUCCAGACUCCUACGGGAGGCAGCAGUGGGGAAUAUUGCACAAUGGGCGCAAGCCUGAUGCAGCCAUGCCGCGUGUAUGAAGAAGGCCUUAGGGUGGUAAAGUACUUUCAGCGGGGAGGCGUUACCCGCAGAAGAAGCACCGGCUAACUCCGUGCCAGCAGCCGCGGUAAUAC